UUUUUCUUUUCUGAGAUUUCUCCCCCUUAACUCUAUAUCUAUCUAUAUGUCCCUCUAUAUAUAGAUAGAUAUAGAGUUUAGGGGGAGAAAUCUCAGAAAAGAAAAA
rnacentral:pre_miRNA from 11 species